CGAAGGGGGCUAGCGUUGUUCGGAAUUACUGGGCGUAAAGCGCGCGCAGGCGGUCUUCCAAGUCAGUGGUGAAAGCCCGGAGCUCAACUCCGGAACUGCCAUUGAAACUGUUAGACUUGAGGACGAGAGAGGUGAGUGGAAUUCCCAGUGUAGAGGUGAAAUUCGUAGAUAUUGGGAAGAACACCGGUGGCGAAGGCGGCUCACUGGCUCGUAUCUGACGCUCAGGCGCGAUAGCGUGGGGAUCAAACAGGAUUAGAUACCCUGGUAGUCCACGCCGUAAACGAUGAAUGCUAGCCGUUGGGUAGCUUGCUAUUCAGUGGCGCAGCUAACGCAUUAAGCAUUCCGCCUGGGGAGUACGGCCGCAAGGUUG
rnacentral:rRNA from 1 species